rnacentral:rRNA from 1 species
CAAUAGCGUAUAUUAAAGUUGUUGCAGUUAAAAAGCUCGUAGUUGGAUUUCGGGGCAGCCUGGCUGGUCCGCCGCAAGGCGAGUACUGGUCAGCCGCCCUUCCUCUCGAAAGCCCCGACUGCUCUUUAUUGCAGUGGUCGGGUAGUUCGGGACGUUUACUUUGAAAAAAUUAGAGUGUUCAAGGCAGGCCUACGCCUGAAUACAUUAGCAUGGAGUAAUGGAAGAGGACCUCGGUCCUAUUUUGUUGGUUUCCAGGACCGAAGUAAUGAUUAAGAGGGACAGUUGGGGGCAUUCGUAUUUAAUCGUCAGAGGUGAAAUUCUCGGAUUUAUGAAAGACGAACAACUGCGAAAGCAUUUGCCAAGGAUGUUUUCAUUAA